CAACACAGGCUAACAAGUUACAAUACUAUGUGCCGGCAACUGUUACAAGCUCUUUUUAGAGCAUUCCCAACAACUCACCAAUAAUUCAACACUAUCGGAGGAGAUAUAACCAAUAUAGCUCCUCUCUUAUUUGAGGGAAGAUGAGUGAGAUAUUGGUGGCCACCAAAAAAGGAGAGAGCUGUUAGGGUAAUGUUGGAGCAUGAAAAAACACUCAUCUCCACCAAAAUGACAAUUUUUCGGGGAUGAGGAGUGAUAUUAGGGGACUGAUGGAGAUGAUCUAGGCUAAUCCUGGUGGUAUUGGUGGGCUACACAAUGUACCACUUGGAAUCAAAUCAAUGCUCCACAGAAUGCAUGCUAUGUCAUGGCACAAUUCGAAGGUGGAGAUCACAAGCUUAGAGUAUGUCGAUAGCAUGGCACAAUUCGAAGGUGGAGAUCACAAGCUUAGAGUAUGUCGAUUUGUAAUGAUGGUGAGUGGGUCAUUCACGCUCACCCCAUCUCCAACAAGCAAAGCAGUUGUAGCGCGGUCUUUUGUGGCAUUCACCGACUCACCCCUUCCAAAUAUUUCAUUAGAAAUAUAUCAAAAUUCUAUCAAACUUUUGUUAGUCGUCCUUUCGAACUCUGUCCCAAACACUUUUAUUCUAGCUUUUAUAUUGUGACCCUGUCCCGGACACUGUGAGUGAAAAGCAUCUAGGCUCCUAAUGAG
rnacentral:lncRNA from 1 species